rnacentral:rRNA from 1 species
AUGGCAAAGAGGAGGAGGUAUGAGCUAACAACGGACUCCUCGUCGUCGACCGCUUGGAAGUUUGGGGUGGUGCAUACCUCGAAGGCCGCCAUGUUGACGAGCCAGCUCGCGCGCGCAUGGUCCAGGGACAAUGGCGGCAAGGAGAUCUCGGCGAAGAGGACCCGCUUGUUCUUGACGCCCAUCUCUAUGAGCUCGCUGGUCUUGUUGGCUGUCAGCGUGAUGCCGAUUUCCGCGAGCUCGAUGGCUUGGUGUUGCCUCUCCCUACAAUGUAGAAUCGGAGAAGGCCGAGGAGGUGCGGCGGCUCGUAGCUAUCGUCCAAGAUCGGAGACUUCUUCUCGGUUAAUUUGCGGUCUUGCAGGCCAUCUUUCAAGUAAGUGA